rnacentral:rRNA from 1 species
GACGAACGCUGGCGGCGUGCUUAACACAUGCAAGUCGAACGGAAAGGCCCUGCUUUUGUGGGGUGCUCGAGUGGCGAACGGGUGAGUAACACGUGAGUAACCUGCCCUUGACUUUGGGAUAACUUCAGGAAACUGGGGCUAAUACCGGAUAGGAGCUCCUGCUGCAUGGUGGGGGUUGGAAAGUUUCGGCGGUUUGGGGUGGACUCGGGGCUUAUCAGCUUGUUGGUGGGGUAGUGGCUUACCAAGGCUUUGACGGGUAGCCGGCCUGGGAGGGUGACCGGGCACAAUGGGACUGCGGUACGGACCAGACUGCAACGGGGGGCAACGGUGGGGAAUAUUGCACAAUGGGGCGGAGCCUGAGGCAACAACGCCCCGGGCGGGAAGAACGCCUUCGGGGUGGGAACCGCUUUCGGCUGUGACCAAGCGGGAGUGACGGUAAUGGGUAAAGAAGCACCGGCUAACUACGUG